GAUGAACGCUGGCGGCGUGCUUAACACAUGCAAGUCGAACGAAGCACUUUAUUUGAUUUCCUUCGGGACUGAUUAUUUUGUGACUGAGUGGCGGACGGGUGAGUAACGCGUGGGUAACCUGCCUUGUACAGGGGGAUAACAGUUGGAAACGGCUGCUAAUACCGCAUAAGCGCACAGAGCUGCAUGGCUCAGUGUGAAAAACUCCGGUGGUAUAAGAUGGACCCGCGUUGGAUUAGCUUGUUGGUGGGGUAACGGCCCACCAAGGCGACGAUCCAUAGCCGGCCUGAGAGGGUGAACGGCCACAUUGGGACUGAGACACGGCCCAGACUCCUACGGGAGGCAGCAGUGGGGAAUAUUGCACAAUGGGCGAAAGCCUGAUGCAGCGACGCCGCGUGAGCGAAGAAGUAUUUCGGUAUGUAAAGCUCUAUCAGCAGGGAAGAUAAUGACGG
rnacentral:rRNA from 1 species